rnacentral:rRNA from 1 species
GCUCGGCCCGAGUUGUAAUUUGGAGAAGGUGCUUCGGGCGCGACGACGGCCCAAGUCCCCUGGAACGGGACGUCGCAGAGGGUGAGAACCCCGUACGCGGCCGAGCGUCGGGCCCGUGCGAAGCCCUUUCGACGAGUCGAGUUGUUUGGGAAUGCAGCUCAAAACGGGUGGUAAAUUCCAUCCAAGGCUAAAUAUCUGUCGGAGACCGAUAGCGCACAAGUAGAGUGAUCGAAAGAUGAAAAGCACUUUGAAAAGAGAGUGAAACAGUACGUGAAAUUGUUGAAAGGGAAGCGCUUGCAACCAGACUCGUCCGCGGGUGCUCAGCCGUGUCACACCGGUGCAUUCGCCCGCGGACGGGCCAGCAUCGGUUUCGGCGGCCGGACAAAGGCCCAGGAACGUGGCUCUUCGGAGUGUUAAGCCUGGGCGUAUGCGGCCUGCCGGGACCGAGGACCGCGCUCUGCCAGGAUGCUGGCGUAAUGGUUGCCAGCGACCCGUCUUGAAACACGGACCAAGGAGUCGACCAACCGCGCGAGUGUUUGGGCGUCAAACCCAUGCGCGCAAUGAAAGUGAAGCAGGUGGGAGAAAAUCGCACCAUCGACCGAUCCUGAAGUCUUCGGAUGGAUUCGAGUACGAGCGUUUUUGGUCGGACCCGAAAGACAGUGAUCUAUGCGUGAAUAGGGUGAAGCCAGAGGAAACUCUGGUGGAGGCUCGCAGCGGUUCUGACGUGCAGAUCGAUCGUCGAAUUUGCGUAUAGGGGCGAAAGACUAAUCGAACUGUCUAGUAGCUGGUUCCUGUCGAAGUUUCCCUCAGGAUAGCAGCAACGUCGAACAGUCUCAUGAGGUAGAGCAACGAUUAGAGGCCUGGGGGUCGAAACGACCUUCACCUAUUCUCGAACUCCGAAUAUGUGAGAAGUCCUUGUUACUUGAUCGAACGCGGACACUUGGAU